GACGAACGCUGGCGGCGUGCUUAACACAUGCAAGUCGAACGGAAAGGCCCUGCUUUUGUGGGGUGCUCGAGUGGCGAACGGGUGAGUAACACGUGAGUAACCUGCCCUUGACUUUGGGAUAACUUCAGGAAACUGGGGCUAAUACCGGAUAGGAGCUCCUGCUGCAUGGUGGGGGUUGGAAAGUUUCGGCGGUUGGGGAUGGACUCGCGGCUUAUCAGCUUGUUGGUGGGGUAGUGGCUUACCAAGGCUUUGACGGGUAGCCGGCCUGAGAGGGUGACCGGCAACAUUGGAACUGAGAUACGGCCCAGACUCCUACGGGAGGCAGCAGUGGGGAAUAUUGCACAAUGGGCGGAAGCCUGAUGCAGCAACGCCGCGUGCGGGAUGACGGCCUUCGGGUUGUAAAACGCUUUCGCCUGUGACGAAGCGUGAGUGACGGUAAUGGGUAAAGAAGCACCGGCUAACUACGUG
rnacentral:rRNA from 1 species